rnacentral:rRNA from 1 species
GUAGUCCACGCCGUAAACGAUGGGCACUAGGUGUGGCGGGUGUCGACUCCCGCCGUGCCGCAGCUAACGCAUUAAGUGCCCCGCCUGGGGAGUACGGCCGCAAGGCUAAAACUCAAAGGAAUUGACGGGGACCCGCACAAGCAGCGGAGCAUGUGGUUUAAUUCGACGAAACGCGAAGAAUCUUACCUGGGUUUGACAUGUUCCUGACCGCCGUGGAAACACGGUUUCCCUUACGGGCAGGAUCACAGGUGGUGCAUGGCUGUCGUCAGCUCGUGUCGUGAGAUGUUGGGUUAAGUCCCGCAACGAGCGCAACCCCCGUCGCAUGUUGCCAGCAUUCAGUUGGGGACUCAUGCGAGACUGCCGGUGACAAACCGGA